rnacentral:rRNA from 1 species
UGAGGAAUAUUGGUCAAUGGACGCAAGUCUGAACCAGCCAAGUAGCGUGCAGGAUGACGGCCCUAUGGGUUGUAAACUGCUUUUAUAUGGGGAUAAAGUGGGGACCGUGUUCCCUUUUGCAGGUACCAUAUGCAUAAGGACCGGCUAAUUCCGUGCCAGCAGCCGCGGUAAUACGGAAGGUUCGGGCGUUAUCCGGAUUUAUUGGGUUUAAAGGGAGCGUAGGCCGUUUGGUAAGCGUGUUGUGAAAUGUAGGAGCUCAACUUCUAGAUUGCAGCGCGAACUGUCAGACUUGAGUGCGCACAACGUAGGCGGAAUUCAUGGUGUAGCGGGGAAAUGCGUAGAUAUCAUGAAGAACUCCGAUUGCGAAGGCAGCUUACGGGAGCGCAACUGACGCUGAAGCUCGAAGGAGCGGGUAUCGAACAGG